GCCAAAGGUGUUCUAAUGCUACAAAUUUGUGGAGUCAUAUAAGAAAAAGUAAUUUUUACCUCUUGAUCUGGGCCUAAGAAGACCAGAGCCAUCCGCAGGAGGCUUACCAAGAAGGAAAUUAAAUGGAUGCACAUUGUUGAAGUGGAUGCAACUUCAUUUAAGCAAUGGUAUUUUCAGCAUUAUGGCAUUGACAUUGGCAAGAAGAAGAAAAUUGUUGCUAUGAAGAGCAACCAUGUCCAAAGGAAACUUAGGAAUGCUAAAAAGAUCGAAAGAUUGAUCCCCAUUUAGAAGAUCAGUUUCGUGUUGGUAGAUUGUUGGCCUACAUAUCAUCCUGUCCUGGUCAAUAUGCAGAGCUAAUGGAUACAUAUUAGAGGAUAAAAAACUGGAGUUCAAUAUGAAGAAGAUUCAAAGAACAAAGGGUAAGGGUAUUGGUGCAGCAUAAACAUUAAGUAUGUCAAGUUUUUACUGUUUUGGUAUAUAUAUAUAUAUGAAGCACAUUCGGAAUAGAUAUGAGUAGCUUCGUCUUUG
rnacentral:misc_RNA from 1 species